AUUUUAAGAGGUUAGUGAAUGCUGCAUGACUGUGAAGUGUUUAAAUAGGCGCGCGCGCUGAAUUCGCGCGCUCAUUCAAACGCUGCAGCGGAGGGAGUUGCCAUGGAAACGGUGCACACUGUCACUGACAAACAGUAAAUCUCCGUCUCUCGCUGCUGUUUUCACUGCUUUCAGAAAUGUUUUACAGUCUUCGAAAAAGUCCGCUAGCAUCUGUUUUCAGACGAGGAGUGAUAAUAUAAUCUUUCUACAAAGGAAGAGAAGCUCCAAGAUUUCAAAUUUCGGAAGGGAGCUGCUGACAGAAAUGCAGGAAACACAGUCAGAACAGAUGAUGAUGAUGAUGAUGAUAAUAGAUCCGGGUGAAGCAGGCGGUGGCACAGGGACUUUGAUGGUCAGACGUGGCGUGAUGGAUGAAGUGCAGCGUGCUCUGAUGACGGAUGACGGGAACCAGACACAUAGACGAUCCAACAAGACGUGAAACCGGAACACAGGAACUGAAGACGGGACACGAGGCACGGAAACAGGAUCAGACAACAUAGACUUCAUGAAACGAUCUGACAAAGGAGAUGAGAAGGUGGUAAGUAUUUAUAGGAGGUGAGAUGAGUGGCAGCUGGUGAUGAAGAGUGAUAGCAGCUGGAUACUGAUCAACGGUAACGAUCCGGACACACCCACUCACACACAUGUAAACAACAAAGCACGAGACUAGAGAGAGACAUUGGAUCUAUGAACCGUGACAGUAAUGACAAACCUAAAUACAUGAACGUUAAUAAUUUUAUUUUAAGAAAUUGUUUGUGUAUGUGUGUGUGUAUGUACCGUUUUCUUUUCUGCAUUUCACUUCUGCUCUAGCUUGCUUCCUUUAAAUAAAGCUAAAUAUCGUUGGCUCUGUGAUAAAUUGCAUAUUAUGUUUCCAGAUUAUGAUGGCCGUACAGCAGAGGAGCGCAGAGUCUCCUGUCAGACAACAUCUCUAAGUCGCUAUGAACCAUGUGACUAGAUCCUAUGUACCCAGCCUCAACCGUUCAUCAGAAGGACUGUGAAAGCGGGAACUCUUUGAACCACCAGUGGCAGUUUCCACGGGAUGAAAAAGGGCAUAGUAGUGGAUGAUGAGGUCCUGAGACCAUAUGGGGUGAAGAUCAAGACAACCAAACCAAAGGUGGACUGUAACCUACUGGACUAUAUGAUAGACUUCAUACUGACAUACUAAAUAGGGGCAUUUCCUUCACCAAGUAAAAGUGUGGAGGAUUCAUCUGGCCUUCAUCGGCCCCCAUGAGGAAAGGUGAGAUGUGCUUACCCUGAUGUGGAUACAAGAUCCUUAAAUGAAGCAGCUCGCAACAAACUCUCAAAUGAGCGCAAGCUUAGCAGCCGCAUGAUGUACUAAUUUUGUUUCAUGUCAUUGUGCUUUCACCAUAGUUUGUAGGGUAUAAAGAUG